UAUUACUCCUUGUGCGGAUGUGAUAUCUCUUUUCAGUCUCAGUCGACGGUGGACUUGGACGGCAGCUCAUAGGUGGAAGUACUCCGCCGGCCAACACUUCCUCUCGUCGCCGUCGGACCACUCCCACCCACCAGGUGCCUAGCUGCUGACCGAGCCACACAAAUGGAGCUGGAAGAUGAAGCCGAUAUUUGGGCGCCCAUUUUGGCUCAUCCUCUUGACCAGGCACCAUCUUCUGAUUUUAUUUUUCUUCCGAGCCAGAUUGAAGAGUACUUCCAUUUUGUGUAUGGGGAUGAUGCCCUUGAGAUCAACCUAUCUCUGAGAGGGUUUUUACCCAAGGACAAUUGGACGAAAAGGCCACGAGGUCCUCGCAAGAAACGGAAAUUUCCAUCG